rnacentral:rRNA from 1 species
GUCUAGCCGUAAACAUAAGUAGUCACAAACAAGACUAUUCACCAGAGAACUACGAGCCACAGCCUAAAACUCAAAGGACUUGGCGGUGCUUCAUACCCCCCUAGAGGAGCCUGUUCUAUAAUCGAUAUACCACGAUACACCUCACCAAUUCUUGCUAAUUCAGUCUAUAUACCGCCAUCUUCAGCAAACCCUGGUUAAGGAGCAAAAGUAAGCAUAAUCAUCUUUACAUAAAAACGUUAGGUCAAGGUGUAACUUAUGAAUUGGGAAGCAAUGGGCUACAUUCUUUAACUAAAAGAACGACGAAAGUUUCUAUGAAACUAGAAACCAAAGGAGGAUUUAGUAGUAAGUUAAGAUUAGAAAGCUUAACUGAAAAAGGCAAUGAAGCACGU